GACGAACGCUGGCGGCGUGCCUAAUACAUGCAAGUCGAACGCAGUGGGGACGGGUGAGUAACACGUGGGUAACCUCCCAUCAGAGGGGAUAACACUUGGAAACAGGUGCUAAACCGAUACUGAUGGAUGGACCCGAGGUGCAUUAGCUAGUGGGUGAGGUAACGGCUCACCACGGCCACGACGCAUCGCCGGCUGUAGGGGGGUAUCGGCCACACGGGGACUGAGACAAGGCCCAGACUCCUACGGGAGGCAGCAGUAGGGAAUCUUCGGCAAUGGACGAAAGUCUGACCGAGCAACGCCGCGUGAGUGAAGAAGGUUUUCGGAUCGUAAAACCCUGUUGUUAGAGAAGCGGUAUCUAACCAGAAAGCCACGGCUAACUACGUGCCAGCAGCCGCGGUAAUUC
rnacentral:rRNA from 1 species